UAGGACGUGCCUGAGGGUGUG
rnacentral:misc_RNA from 1 species